rnacentral:rRNA from 1 species
GUGGGUAGGCGUCGGCGGGGAUAGUGGCGACGGGUGAGUAACACGUGGGCAAUCUGCCCUGCACUCUGGGAUAAGCCCGGGAAACUGGGCUAAUACCGGAUACGACACUCCGAGGCAUCUUGGGGUGUGGAAAGUUCCGGCGGUGCAGGAUGAGCCCGCGGCCUAUCAGCUUGUUGGUGGGGUAAUGGCCUACCAAGGCGACGACGGGUAGCCGGCCUGAGAGGGUGACCGGCCACACUGGGACUGAGACACGGCCCAGACUCCUACGGGAGGCAGCAGUGGGGAAUAUUGCACAAUGGGCGAAAGCCUGAUGCAGCGACGCCGCGUGAGGGAUGACGGCCUUCGGGUUGUAAACCUCUUUCAGCAGGGAAGAAGCGAAAGUGACGGUACCUGCAGAAGAAGCACCGGCUAACUACGUGCCAGCAGCCGCGGUAAUACGUAGGGUGCGAGCGUUGUCCGGGAAUUAUUGGGCGUAAAGAGCUCGUAGGCGGUUUGUCGCGUCGAUUGUGAAAACCUGGGGGCUAAACCCUGGGUCUGGAGUCGAUACGG